rnacentral:rRNA from 1 species
CACGUAGGGCGCGAGCGUUGUCCGGAAUUAUUGGGCGUAAAGAGCUCGUAGGCGGCCUGUUGCGUCCGCUGUGAAAGCCCGGGGCUUAACCCCGGGUCGGCAGUGGAUACGGGCAUCACUUGAGUUCGGCAGGGGAGACUGGAAUUCCUGGUGUAGCGGUGAAAUGCGCAGAUAUCAGGAGGAACACCGGUGGCGAAGGCGGGUCUCUGGGCCGAUACUGACGCUGAGGAGCGAAAGCGUGGGGAGCGAACAGG